UACGUAGGGGGCAAGCGUUGUCCGGAUUUAUUGGGCGUAAAGCGCGUGUAGGCGGCCAUACAGGUCCGUUGUGAAAACUGGAGGCUUAACCUCCAGACGUCGAUGGAAACCGUAUGGCUAGAGUCCGGAAGAGGAGAGUGGAAUUCCUGGUGUAGCGGUGAAAUGCGCAGAUAUCAGGAAGAACACCAGUGGCGAAGGCGGCUCGCUGGGACGGUACUGACGCUGAGACGCGAAAGCGUGGGGAGCGAACAGG
rnacentral:rRNA from 1 species